GCUAUCAUGCAGUAGAACGCUGAAGAGAGGAGCUUGCUCUUCUUGGAUGAGUUGCGAACGGGUGAGUAACGCGUAGGUAACCUGCCUUGUAGCGGGGGAUAACUAUUGGAAACGAUAGCUAAUACCGCAUAACAAUGGAUGACACAUGUCAUUUAUUUGAAAGGGGCAAUUGCUCCACUACAAGAUGGACCUGCGUUGUAUUAGCUAGUAGGUGAGGUAACGGCUCACCUAGGCGACGAUACAUAGCCGACCUGAGAGGGUGAUCGGCCACACUGGGACUGAGACACGGCCCAGACUCCUACGGGAGGCAGCAGUAGGGAAUCUUCGGCAAUGGGGGCAACCCUGACCGAGCAACGCCGCGUGAGUGAAGAAGGUUUUCGGAUCGUAAAGCUCUGUUGUAAGUCAAGAACGAGUGUGAGAGUGGAAAGUUCACACUGUGACGGUAGCUUACCAGAAAGGGACGGCUAACUACGUGCCAGCAGCCGCGGUAAUACGUAGGUCCCGAGCGUUGUCCGGAUUUAUUGGGCGUAAAGCGAGCGCAGGCGGUUUGAUAAGUCUGAAGUUAAAGGCUGUGGCUCAACCAUAGUUCGCUUUGGAAACUGUCAAACUUGAGUGCAGAAGGGGAGAGUGGAAUUCCAUGUGUAGCGGUGAAAUGCGUAGAUAUAUGGAGGAACACCGGUGGCGAAAGCGGCUCUCUGGUCUGUAACUGACGCUGAGGCUCGAAAGCGUGGGGAGCGAACAGGAUUAGAUACCCUGGUAGUCCACGCCGUAAACGAUGAGUGCUAGGUGUUGGAUCCUUUCCGGGAUUCAGUGCCGCAGCUAACGCAUUAAGCACUCCGCCUGGGGAGUACGACCGCAAGGUUGAAACUCAAAGGAAUUGACGGGGGCCCGCACAAGCGGUGGAGCAUGUGGUUUAAUUCGAAGCAACGCGAAGAACCUUACCAGGUCUUGACAUCCCGAUGCUAUUUCUAGAGAUAGAAAGUUACUUCGGUACAUCGGUGACAGGUGGUGCAUGGUUGUCGUCAGCUCGUGUCGUGAGAUGUUGGGUUAAGUCCCGCAACGAGCGCAACCCCUAUUGUUAGUUGCCAUCAUUCAGUUGGGCACUCUAGCGAGACUGCCGGUAAUAAACCGGAGGAAGGUGGGGAUGACGUCAAAUCAUCAUGCCCCUUAUGACCUGGGCUACACACGUGCUACAAUGGUUGGUACAACGAGUUGCGAGUCGGUGACGGCAAGCUAAUCUCUUAAAGCCAAUCUCAGUUCGGAUUGUAGGCUGCAACUCGCCUACAUGAAGUCGGAAUCGCUAGUAAUCGCGGAUCACACGCGCGG
rnacentral:rRNA from 1 species